rnacentral:rRNA from 1 species
GAUGAACGCUGGCGGCGUGCUUAACACAUGCAAGUCGAACGAAGCAAUUUCUCACGAUCCCUUCGGGGUGACGAGUUAUUGACUGAGUGGCGGACGGGUGAGUAACGCGUGGGUAACCUACCUUGUACAGGGGGACAACAGUUGGAAACGACUGCUAAUACCGCAUAAGCGCACAGCUUCGCAUGAAGCAGUGUGAAAAGUUUUUUCGGUACAAGAUGGACCCGCGUCUGAUUAGCUAGUUGGUGAGGUAACGGCCCACCAAGGCGACGAUCAGUAGCCGACCUGAGAGGGUGACCGGCCACAUUGGGACUGAGACACGGCCCAAACUCCUACGGGAGGCAGCAGUGGGGAAUAUUGCACAAUGGGCGCAAGCCUGAUGCAGCGACGCCGCGUGAGCGAAGAAGUAUUUCGGUAUGUAAAGCUCUAUCAGCAGGGAAGAUAAUGACGUA